UGGGGAAUAUUGCACAAUGGGCGCAAGCCUGAUGCAGCCAUGCCGCGUGUAUGAAGAAGGCCUUCGGGUUGUAAAGUACUUUCAGCGGGGAGGAAGGGAGUAAAGUUAAUACCUUUGCUCAUUGACGUUACCCGCAGAAGAAGCACCGGCUAACUCCGUGCCAGCAGCCGCGGUAAUACGGAGGGUGCAAGCGUUAAUCGGAAUUACUGGGCGUAAAGCGCACGCAGGCGGUUUGUUAAGUCAGAUGUGAAAUCCCCGGGCUCCACCUGGGAACUGCAUCUGAUACUGGCAAGCUUGAGUCUCGUAGAGGGGGGUAGAAUUCCAGGUGUAGCGGUGAAAUGCGUAGAGAUCUGGAGGAAUACCGGUGGCGAAGGCGGCCCCCUGGACGAAGACUGACGCUCAGGUGCGAAAGCGUGGGGAGCAAACAGG
rnacentral:rRNA from 1 species